rnacentral:lncRNA from 1 species
UCUGUGUGGAGCAAGUCUAUUCCAAUGGCAGAAUGGGAGCGUGAGUUGUGUGUUCCAAUGGCAGAUUGAGACCAGCCGCCGAUUCCGGAUCGCUCUGUGGAGCAAAAAUGUCUGCUCCGCCGAAAUCAGCAGAUUUCACCGGAAGUCCGCGUGACGUAUUUCCUUCACCCGCCUCUGCUUCCUGUCAUGGUCGCCUGUUUCCGGUCGCGGGCAGCUAAGGACGACAAGG